GGAAGUCCUCGUGUGUGUUUCUACAGAUGUUUGAAGGAAUGAAAGUUGAACAUGAAAGAACAUAUUUUGGAAGAAUUCUCAAAACCGGUAGCCAUUGACAUCCACAGCAUGACUUGAUGGACCUAGUGGAGGGACCAAGGGCAGUGGAAACCUUGUCGUCUUGACUGCGAACACUGCAAAGCGACUCAGAAAUGGAGCCAGGGUCACGACUAUGCAGAGAUGGAAGAAAACCAGGAGGAGAUGCUGUAGAGAGGCUCCACGGCAGAGAACAAAGAGCAAACGUCACACCAGAGUCACUUACACAACCUGCAGAUUUAGAGGAGACGACAAACAGGAAAUGACGGCCAUCUCAGCUUUUAAGCCGCUCAUUUUGCUGACAGUGUGACAUUUGCUUUGUGAGGAAGAGAUGCUGGCCCACUGCGGGCCCGAUCACACUGACAGGCAGCGGCAUUGUGGGAUAUCUCCAUCACUCUCCUCCAGGGAAAGCUGGAUCCUUCACUCUGCCAUUCACUCUCCAUGCGCCAGCCGGCCCUCUGGCUACUGCUUAUACAUGUAUGAUAAUGAAAUGCCACAUUCUUCAUUCUAAUUGCAUCUUGGAUUUUAAAAGGGCAAAAAAAAAAGGCGCUCUUGUGAAAUAGCGAGAGAGAAAUGCACAGCAGCGUAAAGGAGAGUUUAGAGCUGGAAAAAUAAGCACGAGCGUGGACCCAACCCUAGGUGGCAACAAAGGCCUGUGGCGUGUUAAUGCAGCUGAGUUGGAGACCCCUGCUGCCUUACAGCGACACAAUCAAACCCCUUCCCUUCUGUUUUUUCUUCUUCCUCCUUCCCACCCACACGACACGCAGCAAACUUCAUAAAGUGGGAUUAAAAUAAAGCUGUGCAGGGAGGAAAAAAAUAUUAAAGAAAUUCACAACGCUGCUUUUACUUUAAUAAGCUUUAGCAUCCUUUAUCAAGCUGGCGCAGUCCUCAAAGAAUUAGCCGGCUAAUUAGUAUGACUUAUUUCUUUAUCGCGUUUUCUGCUUUCAUUGUGUUUAUUUGUGCGCGUGUGUGUCGGUCGAAUGCACGGCUUUUAUGUGCUAAAAGGAAACGGAGCGGCUUUAAAGCGGCCGUGGUUUGAAUCUGCAGUCCCGCAGAAGACAGAUUGAUGUCCCGCGAUGAUGAUGAAAACACGCAGCGUGUAAGGAAGCAGGAGAGACAUCUAGAGAAAAUGAAGCGCCGUGGCUUGAACCGAUGGGUGUCUUCAGGCAGACAGGAGAGAAAAAGAGAGAGCGCUAUCAGGCCCCGGGAUUAUUCAUGACUCCUCCUCACCAUCUCUCUUCAUAGAAAUGCUGGGAAAAUAUUUACCAGUCAGAGUAAUUUGAUAAAGCUGCGCUGGCCCAGAGAAGGCUAGUCGUGCGUAUAGACACAGUUUGGAGGAGGUUUUGCUCCACACCACCUUUUCUGGCCUAUUAAAAAAACAUCUGACUUGUAUUUCAACUGAUCAAAAUAUAUUAACAUUUAAAUGAGAUGUUUAAUGAAGUUCUUAAUAUUAAAUGUAUUAUACCACAGGCUUAUUUACUUAAA